CCCGGCGACCGGCGCACGGGUGAGUAACGCGUAUGCAACUUACCUAUCAGAGGGGGAGUAACCCGGCGAAAGUCGGACUAAUACCGCAUGAAGCAGGGGCCCCGCAUGGGGAUAUUUGCUAAAGAUUCAUCGCUGAUAGAUAGGCAUGCGUUCCAUUAGGCAGUUGGCGGGGUAACGGCCCACCAAACCGACGAUGGAUAGGGGUUCUGAGAGGAAGGUCCCCCACAUUGGUACUGAGACACGGUCCAAACUCCUACGGGAGGCAGCAG
rnacentral:rRNA from 1 species